UUCAAAUUAAACAUGCGUAAACUAUCUAUUUUAUGAAAACUGGUGAUGUUUAAUUUGAAAACAUAAACUGAAAUUUUUUAAUAUUUAAUUUAUCUCAAAGUUUGGAGCUAUUCCAGAUUUCAUAAAAUAAUUUUAAUGUGUUCAUCAUUUUUUAUUGUCUACAACAUCUAAGUUAUUAACGAAUCGUGGCGAAAAACUACCAACUCGGUGACAUGUGUUAGAGAGUUUUCCGGUGCAUUUCCUUUAUAUAUGGAAGCCUAUUUCUUUGGCGUUCCCAUAAACUUAGUAACUGUGGUUAUAGAUUUUAAUAAUCAAGAUCUGUUGCUAGUGUUGUUUAUUUUCAUAUUAGCUUUGAAUACUUUUUCUAUCUCAUAUUAAUUAUUCUUAAUAUUUACUAAACAUUUUUGAGUAAUGUUUUAUCAGGUUUUGUACUACAGUAAACCUAUUUUAAAUCUUUGAAGUAUUAUGAAAUUUACAUAUUUUUAAUGUUUUUUAUUUAGUUAUUCAAAUGAAUGACACAAUAUUGUCUAAAGGUUAAUUUCAAUAAAUUAUUCUAAGUCGUAUUCUAUACUAUAUUUUAGUUAUUAAAAUAUUGUGUUUAUUAGUAAAAUAUGCUAAAGUAUCAGCCUUAUAAAUUGACCACCACGUGAAUGAACUACGCGUUACUCCGUCAGGCAAUCAAGAACUUCGUAUAAGUAAAGUUCAAGUUGAAAAAUAGUAAUAAAUAAUACAAGGUCAAAAGACGUGUUUUAUUGACUUAACUUCAAGUGAUAUAUCCAGUCUACACAAACUACAGAACUGUUUCACUUUUAGGUUCAUAUUACAAGCUGAUACAAGUAGGCAGGCGUAAGAAACCAUUGAUGCUGAUCAACAACUACACCUUCGCUCAGACGACUUGCGACAAGAGGUAUUGGAACUGCAGCAGAAAGUUCUCAUCCAAAUGUCCAGCCAAGAUCAGGUUCAAUGAUGCUGGGGAGCUGAUCUUUCAAAUGCUGAUGCAUAACCACGAGCCGCCCACUUACUUUAGGACUGCUGACGGUAGAUAUGUUAAGGUUUAAGUUACCAUCACGUGACCAAAUUAGUCGAUUGCCUCAAUAAGAAAAAGUUUUUUUAGAGCCCCGUGUUUACUAACUUUGAUGCGUGUUGAGGAACGUGGCACAAUACCUGCAAGUACAUAAGGUCUCUCCCUGAAAUACGGCCUUGAGUAUUGGUUCCAUUAAUUUAAGGCGCACGAAUUAUGGGCGGGAAUGUGUUAAGAUUAUGAAUAAUUUCUUUAAAAAAACAUUUAUAACCCUUUUUGAAAAUUUGACCAUACAAAAAUAUUCCUUAUUAAAUUGUUCAUCUAAUAGCGAUGGUUGCAAAUUUAAAUGAUGUGUACCUUAAAAGGAGAUCCACGGAAUCCACAAUUGUAGUGUCAUUUUCAUUAUUAAAUUAAUUUAUGACAUAGGUAAAUUACAUUAUAAAAAAAAAUUACAUCCAAAGUAAACAUGUCUUUUUUAUAUGUAUUAUAUUUUUCGAAUGCAUAGCUUUUUAAAUACGGUUGGUGUGCCGUUUUUGUUGUGUAGGGGCCUUAUGAAAUGAAAAGGCACGAAUCAAAACACGACACGUAGGUAUAGAGCGACACAGUCGCAAGCGUACUACAAACUCCUUAAAUUAGGAGGAAAAAAGUUGCCAAUGUCCAGUAGGUAGAUGUUGCUAACUAAAUACAAGGCAAUGCACUUUGUCAUCAAGUAAGACCCUGUAAGUUUUAGUAAAAACUAUGAGUUUUUUUUUGUUAAUAAAAUAAUAUAAGUAGUUUAUUUGUUUUGUGUUGAGUUGUCGAUUGGCUGCAAUAAUCUUAUUAAGUAUUAUUUAUUAUUCUCGUCUUCCAGGUUUUAAUUUUUCAAAAUAUUUAUUGUAAGCACAGACGCAAAAAAUCUGCGAAUUUAUUAUACUUGAUCGGUUUGAAUUUUUUUUAUUCACGUCACGUUAAAUUGCUUUUGAUUUGAAGUAAUAACUUUAUGUUCCCAAUAUUCGAAAUCAUCUUAGAUAUAAGAUCGGUUCUAAAUAUUAUGUAAAUACUCAAUUUUACCUUAUUUUGAUUAUGUGUAAAGGUGGUGCCGAUAUGCUAUAGGACGUAAGCAAUAAUACAGAUCAUUUCAGAAAGCGUGUGGACGUUAGGGUUUAUAAAUUAAAUAUUGAUUUAUGAAACAUACUUUUUUAUGUAGGUAGAUAUUUAAAUUUUUUACAGCGCAAUAUUUUGCAUAUUUUUAAUGAGCAAAAUGCAGCGAAUACAUGAAGACUAAUGAAUAUAAAAAUCGGUAUUUCUUCAGAUUUUUAUUGCCUACCUAACAAAGAUAAAAAUGUCUUAUGAAUAUUAAAAUUAUAGUAAAUUAAAGAAGUUGUAAAAAUAUUAAUGUAUAAACAAUAUUUAGUAAGUACUUAUCUACUCAAUACUAUUAUGUCAUUUUUAGAGACCGUACCCCUUGUGUUUCUUAUUUUGACCAGAGAAUGCAAAUAAUUCUUAAACACAUGUUCAAAACCAAUAAGUGUAGGAUAGUAUUCCAAAGAUUUUGUGUAAUAUUUUAUUAUUAAAAACAUACAAAAUUUGAUAGAACUCACUUAUCACUAUAAAUAUAUUUAAAGUAUUUUUAAAGAAUGUCAAAAUGUAUAUAAUAGGUUGAGAUAUAACUAAGGUUAUAAAAUAAACACAUAUUUUACAUUAUAUAUAAACAAUUAACCGCAAUGAAUAUGGAAAAAUACAUAUCUCUAUGGCGACCCUUGGAGGACACAUUUCUGAACGCACUAUCAAUGACAAUUCUCUGACAGCUGAUCGUUGAAUUGGUGUAAAAAUAAAAACAAUGUAAGAAAAACAUUUUUAAACAGUAACAUAAAAUAGACUCCGAGUGCUAUAGUUACUUUGCAAAAUAAUAUUUGUGAGUGCAAGUGAAAAUAUUAUGAAAAGUAUCAAUGUUCCAAACAUAACCUCAAAGUGUUAAGAAGUGUUAUGUACUUUAAAUUUGCCCUAAAUAACUUUCUAAUACUUUACUUUAUCCAAAUAUGUGAAUGAAAUACAUAACAGUGUAAAUUGUUUUUAAUAUAUGGAAAUAAGAUAUUUAUGUUUAAACUAUAGUAUAAUCAAAACUUGUAAAUAUAAGGUUAACGAUAUUGCCGUAUUUAAAUACGUUUAUUUUGUCACGUUACGGUAGUUACAUGAAAAUGUAUGUCUAUAAGGACACACGUAUUUUGUUCAGUUGUUUUAAACUCAAAAUUUUAUUUCAUUACGGUAAAAAAGAAAAAACUAUAGAUUCUGAUAAAAUUAGUAAUUUAACAUAUCAUGAAAAUUUUAUUCAUGGUGUUUGUGUUAGAAUAAACUUGUAUUGUAUAAAAAUCUAUUUAAUAACUAGGUACUACUUCUUCUUGUCAUAUUAACAAUUCAUGUUAUAUUUAUGUUGUACUAUGUUUAAACUUGAAUCACUGCAAGAGAUAAAUUAUGUUGAUAAUUUAUACUGAUAAAUAAAAUAAGUAUCACAAAUUCGAGAAUGUUCAUUGACUAAUUUUUAUUUGCCUCAUUUACAUUACAAUAGCGAUGGGCCAUGUCGGUUCACAUGAUUACAAUAAUGUUCUAAAAAUGGAAUCAGAGUUUAAUCAGAAAAUGAGUCAACUUCUAAGCCAUAAAAAGAGUAACCAGGGUUACCUCAUGAAUACGGUGAGGUACCAAGAGCUAAUAGAAGAAGUGAAAUCUACAAAACAGAGACGAAACAAGGACUUUGACGAUUACAGACUCUUAGGAAAUUUUGAUGUUUUAAAUAUAAGUGGAAGAGAGAGAUUGAUUCAGCCGAAAGAUGAAGGGAACCAGUGCCUUAAAAUGUAUCUGCCUAUAGAAGAAUUAUUCAGUGGCUUACACACCGUCCAUUUGCUUAAUAAUCAUGCUGACAAAGAUAUUAUGGCUGUUCAAGUUAAAGCUAAAUAUUGUAAUGUAACUAAGGAAGUUAUUAAAAUAUAUUUGUCAUGUUGUAUUGUAUGUAAGAAACACAUGGAUUAAUUGUAAGAAUUACCCAUUCAAUUAAUUUGAUGUUAUAAGGUGCCUGUUGAUAAAAUAUUUCCUAGUUUAUUAUACAUUCUUUAGGCAAUUUUAUUAAAUGGAGGCUAUAUUGGUCUUCUAUAUAAAAUCUUAAAUGUUGCCAAUAAAUGAAUUAAACUUUAUACCAUGUUGCAAUUUGUUUUAAUUAUCUCCAUCGUUUUUUUAUAAACCCAAAGGUAUCACACAGUUAUAUUUUUUAAUUGAAAUGAAGAUUGACUAACCCUCAUCCCUUGUUGAGUUGUCUUGUAGUAUAUGGUAAAUGAUGCACAAUUUUUUUUUUCUACAUAAAGGUAUCUUACUAUGGGUUCAGAUGGUAAACAGAUGUUUAUGACUUCAAUUCAAUUUAUGGUAAUAUUUUUUAUAAUAUUGACAAUAUUAUUACAUAGAAUUCAGUUUAGAAGUGGUGAUUGCAAUAGUGAAAUAACUGAUGGUUAUAUUAUGAACAAUAUUUUGUACUUUUAUUUUUUUUAUAUAAAAUCCUCAUGCCGACUUUACAUUUCAGUGAAGUUCAUGACAUCGCGAGGUGGUGAUAGACUGAUGAAGCUUGGAGACUUCACGUUCACGAGUGAAGUGAGCGAUGGCGCUCUUUGCUAUUGGUCCUGCUACACCCACAACAGCUACGGCUGCCCCGCGAAGGUCUAUACAGAGAGCAAUAGAUUAAUGUACGCGAAGAAUCUUCAUAAUCAUCCGCCUACGGAGUUUUUUGUUUGACAUUAUGCUGUGUAUUUGCCGAAGCGGGUUUAUGUAUUCUGUGGCUACUAAACUGAGUCACUUAUGUAAUUACUGUAUAAUAUUUUCGGUAGCCUAAUCAUUCCGUUCGAUGGGGAUCCCCUCAUGGAAGGGAACGCACAUGACGAAAAUUGUAUGCCCUGGUUGCACUGCCUACCCCUUCUGGGAUAAAGGCGUGAUGAGUGUUUUCGUAAACUCCCUCUUACCUUCCUUAAUUCUUAUUCCUUUUUAAAGGCCGCAACAAAUUCGUAAUUUUCUGGUAAAAUAAAAAUAAUAUAAAUUAAAAUGCUUUAUUCAUCACGUAGGCGAACAUAGUUGCACUUAUGAUGGGUCAAGGUACAUGAGAAUAUUUAAUUAUUAUUGAAAUAAAGUCACUUAUACAUAUAACUUAAGACAUUUUAUAUUGGACAAAAUAGAUGAAAGACUAUAAAGUUAAUAUAGAAGCCAGCUCGGGCUGGCAGGAAAGAAGAUAUAAAAAUAUGUAUAUAAUCUUACAUAAAUAGAGGAACGCGUCGCGAUCCUCACCGAUGAGGGCGAUAAAAGCCCUACCCUAGCUAUCCCACUCACUGUAGAAGUUUAUAAAUGGGCGGUUGACAUCAAAAUAAGGUGACCCAUUGCUUUUUUAUCGGCCAUUAUUAAAAAAAGACAUAUUUAGAUAAACAAUUAAGAUUUUAUUUCUUUCGUGUAUAAGGUGUAGAAGUCAAUAACUUGACGACAACUGGUCGAUUAGUUUCGAUAAAUUAUUUUUUAGUAUUUACCACUACUAUAAUACACCCUAUUUUGGAUGGCAUUUACAUUUCAUGUUGUAAAUUUGCACCUGAGGCAUUUUUUUAGUACUUUUAGUCAAACUCCUCUCUUAUUUGCCAUAUUGACUUGCUUAUAGACUAGGAUAUUUAUAAUUUUUCUAUUUAUUGAUCUCGUAUUCAUUUUCUUUAGAGAUAGGUAUAGAUAUUCAGUUAUAUAAUAAGUUAUCCUAUGUACUUAAUAUACCGUUGCGCAAAGUUGUGUUGUUAAUUUGAAAUUAAACUUAACGCAAAUUGCUGCUUUCUUGGAAUAGGAAACACGAGUAUUGCUUCAAUAUUAAGGACGAGUCGAGUUUAAUAGAAAAAUAUCGUCGAAGAAACAAAACUUACAACUUAUAGAUAGCCCUUGGAGUCGGUAGCCUCGAUGUGCGGGCUACGCAGUUUCAUACACAGCGUAGAGCAAGGCAAUUCAGAUAAUUUUUUUUUCAUUUUUUUAUCACAACAUACAGAGCCACGUACGAAGCUAUGGAGGUGUGUAAAAAAUAUUAAUAUUUAUUAUUAAGCCUCACCUACGUCUUUGUACGCUUUAGUCGUGUAAGAAAUACGAAGACCUUUGCUCCAAAAGUGGUACGGUUAGACCAAGCGGUUCUUGGUGUGCCGUGAAAUUUUAUGUAAAUUUUAAACUUUGGUGUCGAUAAUGGACCGAUCUCAUUUCCAAGCAAAUAAGUCGCUCACUAUUCCAUGGAUUGCAGCAUAAAUGUUUCAGUACCUGUUUCACAAAUUCUGAGUACUAUGCGUCACAUAAAUGUAUAAGCCGACCAAAUACAAAAGUCUCACUCUGCUCGCAAACAAAUAGUAAUAAGGGGUAUUAUCUACCUUAGCCGUUUAAUACGAAUACUGUCAUACAAAAUUUACUUGGAAUUUGUGAAACAGGCUCAUAGAGUUUAACGCACUGAUUAAUCUAUCGCACAAAUUAGUUAAUUUCUUAUGACAACAAACGUCAUAUAGAAUGUAAUGCAUGUCUCUGCAUGGUAUUUCUAUUCGAGUUCCAUUCAUGAACUUUACCAUCAUGUUAGCAUCAACGAUCUUUAAUGCGUAAACAAAGCCAUUUGAACCUUGUGCCAGAAAAAAAGACCCGUUGAAAAAUAGGUGUUAAUCCGUCAUUUUUAAAAAAUAAGAUGUAUAAAAUAUCAAUUAUCGUUUGCCAUGUUUAUUGACAAACAUUGAUUAUAUAGCAAUUGUCAUUAGUGAGUUUCCGCUCCUAGAUAAAAACUAGCAAAUUCUGCCAUAAAAUAUUGUAUAUUUUUAAACAGUUAAUCUGAAUGAUGUACUUUGAUUUAUAUGUUUUUUUAUGUAAUAUAGGAUUUAUUCAACACUAUUCCUGCAAGUCAACAUUAUUAUGUAGGCUGACGACAGAGGCUAAUUCUUUCGAUAAACUUGCCUGAAUUUGCUUGGUAAUUCCACAUUUGCGCUGAGCUUGCCUCUUUAAUUUUUACUAUGUGUCAUCAGAUGCUAUUGCAAAAUUUUCAGAAACGUGAUACAAAAUAUAUUUUAAGAGAUUGCUAGCUUUUAAGCGUAUGGCGAAUACAGAAAAUUCAAUGGCUCCUAAGUAAAUUAUCAUACCUGAAAACAUAGCGAUAUUCACUUUUUUAACGUUUCGUUAUGUACUUUUACUACCAAAACCCAUUAAAAAAAGUUAGUAAAUGAUUGCUGAUGAAGUGUUUUUUGUUUAUUAACUUUUGAAUUAAUUGGGUUUGGUAGUAAACAGUACCUAGACAGCGAAAUGCUAAAAUGUGAAUGUCGCAAUUUUUCCAGAUACGAUACUUUACUUGGGAGCCAUUGAUUAAAAUUAAUUUUAAAAUCUGUAAUUUAGGGGUAUGUCGCAGCGUAUUGUUCUUAUAAGUAUAUCUACAGAAUCAGCGCUGCGCUGUACUUCAUUUACGCGUAUAUUAAUGUGGGAAUGUAUAAUAUGUUGUAUAUUCAAUUGUAGCUAAGUGAUGCCUCCUACUAUUUUGUAAUUCGGUUUUCUGGGUGGUGUUGCUGAUGUUUAGACCUGGACGCUUCAAUUUAACACGUGUUAUAUGUGGGUAUUUUAUUUACAAGUUUUACUUACAGUGUUUACUGACGAACAAUUUACUUAUUUAAUAACAGUAACAUUUCUAAAUUUUAAGCUGUAAAAAUAGAUACGUACGUGUGUUGUAAUAACCAGAUUACGAAGUUUGCAUUUUUAAAGGGUUCGUAAGUAACUUUGUAAGUAAAAUUUUCAAAAGUAAGGCCCAUCUAAAAAUAAUGUAUAUAAAGUAAACAUAAUGGGUGCUACUGUUGUGAUAAUCAUGACGUGAUCUCCUUGUACAUUCUUGCCUAUCACGUAUAUUAUCUAGUUUUAGUACAAAUGUAGUGUCACACUCAAGAUAUUCAGUAUUAAAUCACUCGUGUUCCAAUGCUCUCUAUUUUGUAUCAAAUAUAUAAUUUACUACUU